rnacentral:rRNA from 1 species
CCUACGGGUGGCAGCAGUGAGGAAUAUUGGUCAAUGGCCGGAAGGCUGAACCAGCCAUGCCGCGUGAAGGUCAGUGCCCUAUGGGCGUUAAACUUCUUUUGUGCGGGAGCAAUAAUGGUCACGUGUGGCCAGACGAGAGUACCGUACGAAUAAGCAUCGGCUAACUCCGUGCCAGCAGCCGCGGUAAUACGGGGGGUGCAAGCGUUAUCCGGAUUUAUUGGGUUUAAAGGGUGCGUAGGCUGUGAGGUAAGUCAGCGGUGAAAUGCCCCCGCUCAACGGGGUGAAGUGCCAUUGAUACUGCCUGGCUGGAAUGCGGAUGACGUGGGAGGAAUGUGUGGUGUAGCGGUGAAAUGCAUAGAUAUCACACAGAACACCGAUUGCGAAGGCAUCUCACGAAUCCGCGAUUGACGCUGAUGCACGAAAGCGUGGGUAUCAAACAGGAUUAGAUACCCUAGUAGUC